AUGAAUUGGUUUGUCGCAAGAUAUGUAUAUUUACUUAUUGAUCUUUAUAUAAAUAUAAAUUUAAGUGUCUGCUCGGGCAUAUCCUAAAUGCUGACUAAAACUAAGUUAAAAGAACAUGUUUAUUUAACAUGCCCUAAAGAAAAUAUUACAAGUUUUAACAUGUCUUAUUUCAUUCUUCAGAUAGGAAAAACCCCACAGCUAAUGUGAAUUUGGCCCCAUUUGAGCAGUGGAGAAGUGCCUAUUUCUGCUUGUCAAAUACAUCUCCAAUUUGUUCAAAGAAACAUACACUCACAAUGUCUGGAUGGCUAAAUGUAACAAAUGAAGAAGGUAAACAAUUUUGUGUAAAGGGAGGCUGUGGAGAUUAUACUAAAGGAGUACUCGAUUGCAUUCAUCAUGUCAAACGCGAUUUUUGGUUCGCAAACAAGGCCACUGUUAAACAUAUCUACAAUACCAUCGAUGUUGGUUGCAACACCUCACAAGGUUUUAGUGGAACAAGUUUUUACCCACACUAAGGGUUCAAAUCAGCAUCGAUGUCUCGUUAUAUAACACAUAUAUAGCCAUCAAAUACAAUAAAAGAACCAACAAGCAUUACGUAUUAUAGACAUCAAAAUUAUGUUUUUCUUUUGGGUAACGACUGAUUUCUCAUAUGUGAAGAGUCAUUCAUCCUUUCUUUUGUAUGCAUAAUAAUAUUUCUCUCUUCUGACGGUGCUUUACCAAAAGGCAUAUACACUCGUAAUAAUAAAAUUGCUUGUUAUCUCCAUUUCCAUUUUCAACAAUAGAACCAGAUGAAAAACUAGGGGUUGAUAAUUGUAAAUCAAUCCCAGAAUUCAAAGAUGUAACCAUAUUUGUCAGACAAAUUAGGGGAAAGGCGCAUGUCAAACUGGCAAACAAAGUAGAAUUACAUUGCAGUUUCUCCCUUACUAGUCAUCAAAUAAAUAUUCACAAAUUGAAAACAGCUGUUCCCUUAACAACCCACA